rnacentral:rRNA from 1 species
AAUCAACGCUGGCGGCGUGCCUCAGACAUGCAAGUCGAACGAUUAAGACUUCCUUCGGGAAGGGUAUAAAGUGGCGCACGGGUGAGUAACACGUAAGUAAUCUACCCUCGAGUGGGGAAUAACGUUCGGAAACGAACGCUAAUACCGCAUAAUGCAGCGGCAUCGCAAGAUGACAGUUGUUAAAGGAGUAAUUCGCUUGAGGAGGAGCGUGCGGCAGAUUAGCUAGUUGGUAAGGUAACGGCUUACCAAGGCUACGAUCUGUAUCCGGUCUAAGAGGACGGUCGGACACACUGACACUGAAUAACGGGUCAGACUCCUACGGGAGGCAGCAGUCGGGAAUUUUGGGCAAUGGGCGAAAGCCUGACCCAGCAACGCCGCGUGAAGGAUGAAGUAUUUCGGUAUGUAAACUUCGAAAGAAUGGGAAGAAUAAAUGACGGUACCAUUUAUAAGCUCCGGCUAACUACGUGCCAGCCGCCGCGGUAAUAC